UACGUAGGGUGCGAGCGUUAAUCGGAAUUACUGGGCGUAAAGGGCGCGUAGGCGGCCCGCUAAGUCGAACGUGAAAUCCCCAGGCUCAACCUGGGAACUGCGUCCGAUACUGGCAGGCUUGAAUCCGGGAGAGGGAUGUGGAAUUCCAGGUGUAGCGGUGAAAUGCGUAGAUAUCUGGAGGAACACCGGUGGCGAAGGCGGCAUCCUGGACCGGUAUUGACGCUGAGGCGCGAAAGCUAGAGGAGCAAACGGG
rnacentral:rRNA from 1 species